rnacentral:rRNA from 1 species
UAGUCCAUGCCGUAAACGAUGAUUACUAAGUGUUGGAGGGUUUCCGCCCUUCAGUGCUGCAGCUAACGCAUUAAGUAAUCCGCCUGGGGAGUACGACCGCAAGGUUGAAACUCAAAAGAAUUGACGGGGGCCCGCACAAGCGGUGGAGCAUGUGGUUUAAUUCGAAGCUACGCGAAGAACCUUACCAGGUCUUGACAUCUUCUGCCAACCUAAGAGAUUAGGCGUUCCCUUCGGGGACAGAAUGACAGGUGGUGCAUGGUUGUCGUCAGCUCGUGUCGUGAGAUGUUGGGUUAAGUCCCGCAACGAGCGCAACCCUUAUUACUAGUUGCCAGCAUUCAGUUGGGCACUCUAGUGAGACUGCCGGUGACAAACCGGAGGAAGGUGGGGACGACGUCAAAUCAUCAUGCCCCUUAUGACCUGGGCUACACACGUGCUACAAUGGAUGGUACAACGAGUCGCGAAACCGCGAGGUUUAGCUAAUCUCUUAAAACCAUUCUCAGUUCGGACUGUAGGCUGCAACUCGCCUACACGAAGUCGGAAUCGCUAGUAAUCGCGGAUCAGCAUGCCGCGGUGAAUACGUUCCCGGGCCUUGUACACACCGCCCGUCACUCCAUGAGAGUUUGUAACACCCAAAGCCGGUGGGGUAACCUUUAGG